rnacentral:tRNA from 1 species
AGCCGAGCGGUCUAAGGCGCUGGUUUAAGGCACCAGUCUUUUCGGGAGCGUGGGUUCGAAUCCCAC